UACGUAGGGUGCAAGCGUUAAUCGGAAUUACUGGGCGUAAAGCGUGCGCAGGCGGCUUUGCAAGACAGAUGUGAAAUCCCCGGGCUCAACCUGGGAACUGCAUUUGUGACUGCAUGGCUAGAGUACGGUAGAGGGGGAUGGAAUUCCGCGUGUAGCAGUGAAAUGCGUAGAUAUGCGGAGGAACACCGAUGGCGAAGGCGGCAUCCUGGACCGGCAUUGACGCUGAGGCGCGAAAGCCAGGGGAGCAAACGGG
rnacentral:rRNA from 1 species